rnacentral:rRNA from 1 species
UACAGAGGGUGCAAGCGUUAAUCGGAGUUACUGGGCGUAAAGGGCGCGUAGGCGGUUUAAUAAGAUUGAUGUGAAAUCCCUGGGCUUAACCUAGGAACUGCAUCGAUGACUGUUAAGCUAGAGUAUUGUAGAGGGUAGUGGAAUUUCCGGUGUAGCGGUGAAAUGCGUAGAGAUCGGAAGGAACACCAGUGGCGAAGGCGGCUACCUGGACAAAUACUGACGCUGAGGCGCGAGAGCGUGGGGAGCAAACAGG